CCUACGGGGGGCUGCAGUAGGGAAUAUUGCUCAAUGGGGGAAACCCUGAAGCAGCAACGCCGCGUGGAGGAUGAAGGUUUUCGGAUUGUAACCUCCUUUUGUUAGAGAAGAUAAUGACGGUAUCUAACGAAUAAGCACCGGCUAACUCCGUGCAAGCAGCCGCGGUAAUACGGAGGGUGCAAGCGUUACUCGGAACCACUGGGCGUAAAGAGCGCGUAGGCGGGAUAGCAAGUCAGAUGUGAAAUCCUAUGGCUUAACCAUAGAACUGCAUUUGAAACUGUUAUUCUAGAGUGUGGGAGAGGUAGGUGGAAUUCUUGGUGUAGGGGUAAAAUCCGUAGAGAUCAAGAGGAAUACUCAUUGCGAAGGCGACCUGCUAGAACAUAACUGACGCUGAUGCGCGAAAGCGUGGGUAGCAAACAGGAUUAGAUACCCUAGUAGUC
rnacentral:rRNA from 1 species